AUUCAGACGUUAGCACAAUAAGACAUUAGCAUAGCUUUAGAGCGAGAAAGAGCAUUUACAAGACACCAUUAUCUCAUGAGCCAUCUUAUGAACAAUGGAUCAGCCGCGAACUGCGCUCGCCAAAUUGCUUGCUUUGUCAUGCGGCGGCUCCUCUCCACCGGGGCCAUGUCUUCCUCUGCCCCUUAUUCGUCGUUCCUACCAGGUAAAAACCCUAGCUCGAUCCGCCUCACGCAUCAGCGGCGACUCAAUGGUGUUCGUUUCUCUUUUCCCACCCGCUUCGUCGUCGUCGGUUCUUCCAUACGCUGCCUUGCCUCCUUCUCACCGGCCGAGCGAAUCAAAGUCCACAACCCCAUCGUUGAGAUGGAUGGUGAACCACAUCCCCCUAGUGUGUGUGUGUUUGCUGUUUUUUUUUUUUUGCUCUCUUGGUUCUUUUCCCGCUUUCAAACGCUUAUUCUUCUCUCCUCGGUACGUUCUAUCGAUAUCUACUUCUUUUUUUUCAAUUCAGAAAAAAAAAGAGGUUAAAACCCUACCUAUCUGAUGUACAUAAAAACUUUUUGAUGUCUUCUCAGGCGAUGAGAUGACGAGGGUCAUCUGGAGGAUUCCAGAUGAUAAAAGAAAAGCUAAUUUUUCCAUUUCUCGAAUUGGACAUCAAGUACUUCGAUCUGGGCCUCUUGAGUCGUGAUGCCACCGACGAUCGGGUAACCGUUGAAAGUGCCGAGGCAACUCUCAAGUUACCUACCACGACCUUCUUUAUAGUAGCACUUCCCCUUCCUCCUUCCACUUAAAUGAUUUAUUGUGUUUUCUUACAGUGAUAAACUGAAUACCAAUUUGUGUAUAAUUAAUGUUCGUGCAUAUACGAAACUUGCUUUACCAUUUUGUACAUGCUUGUAUCGAUUGGUGUAUUCAAUCUUCCAUUUCACCGGA